CCAGUACUUACAUACUUUCUGCUUUCUGUCAGUAUCUGGCACAACCUGGAAGCUGAGGUUCAUGGCAGAUUUAUAUCUCUAGUUUCAGAGUUUAGCUCUUAAUUUCUCAGAGUUUUUAAAGGUUAAACCUGAUGACAGAGGAGUAUGGAACAACUUUUUUUUCUUGUGAUGUUAACAGGAGGAGCCCAUGCAUUCUUACCAGUUUCUGAAACUAGAUGUAAUGCCACAGAGAUCAAACUCCCAUGCACUCCUGUUCUUGGAGGGUCUGUGUAUAUCCAACUUAUGACUAAUGCAAGCUCCUACGAACUCCACUGUAAGAAGGUACUUCACAAUGAAAACACAAAAGUUUUCUCUUCAGGGAAUGGAAAGGUGACGAUAGAGGUUGCAUUCAGAGAAAGAAUUGAGUUUUUCAUUGACAUCGGGACACUCAAGAUCACCAAUGUGGAGAAGAGUGAUUCUGGUCAAUACAUCGUAGAAGUCUAUGAUCAGGAUGGGAUACGUGGGAAAAGCAUAAGUUUUAACCUGGAAGUAAGAGAAGACAUAUUUCAAAUUGUCAUCCCUGUCUGCAUUGCACUCGGUGUGCUCCUGAUCGUGCUGUUAUGUUUCUGUGUGUGUGGAAAGGUCAUGCAUCGUAGGAAAUGAGGUUAAGGUGACAGUUAAGACAGUCUGUGGGAGUCGGAACAUGAAUAAACUCAACUGAAGGCAAUUUUCAGCAGGUGCUGCACAAAGAUAAAAAAAAACAAAACACAAAAGAUAUAUAAAAGAUACAUAAAAGAUCAUGUGUUGCUGAGUUCACUAAUAGUUUUAUUUGAUCUGCUCUUUCUUAUACAAUGAUAACCAACAUAUUGAAAUCUAUAUUUUAAUUUAGACGUUUGAUUCUUUGGUCAAAAAAGUCUGAAUUAAACUUGGUCCUAAUUAAAGGUUUCAAUUUCAGAUCAGUUGGUUUGGUUACAUUUUUGACAAAAAAUAUUAUUUUUUUUAAAUACAAUGCAAAACUGAACUUCUCAAAGUCAGACAAACAUCUAGAUAAUUAAGUUUUACUCCUACACGUAUAUGCUAAACUAGACUAAAACUGAACUUGAUGCUCUGUAUCCUCCUAGAUUUUGACACCACAAGAUUUUUUUCUAUAAUUGUCAUAUGUCCUUUGUGUUGGUGCUUGUAUUGAAAAUAAACUAAAGCAAAGACGA